rnacentral:rRNA from 1 species
UACGUAGGGUGCGAGCGUUAAUCGGAAUUACUGGGCGUAAAGCGUGCGCAGGCGGUGAUGUAAGACCGAUGUGAAAUCCCCGGGCUUAACCUGGGAACUGCAUUGGUGACUGCAUUGCUAGAAUCUGGCAGAGGGGGGUAGAAUUCCACGUGUAGCAGUGAAAUGCGUAGAGAUGUGGAGGAACACCGAUGGCGAAGGCAGCCCCCUGGGUCAAGAUUGACGCUCAUGCACGAAAGCGUGGGGAGCAAACAGG